UACGAAGGGGGCUAGCGUUGCUCGGAAUCACUGGGCGUAAAGGGUGCGUAGGCGGGUUUUUAAGUCAGGGGUGAAAUCCUGGAGCUCAACUCCAGAACUGCCUUUGAUACUGAAGAUCUUGAGUCCGGGAGAGGUGAGUGGAACUGCGAGUGUAGAGGUGAAAUUCGUAGAUAUUCGCAAGAACACCAGUGGCGAAGGCGGCUCACUGGCCCGGUACUGACGCUGAGGUACGAAAGCGUGGGGAGCAAACAGG
rnacentral:rRNA from 1 species